UUUUAGCCCUGAUGGGAACGGCAUCCUUUUAUGGCGGGGUUUGCCAUAAAAGAUAGAGUGUACAGCAGGAGAAUGC
rnacentral:sRNA from 1 species